UCAUUUAUAUUUAAUAGUAUUUGACACUCUGCUGUUUGGGUUUUGCUAACUGUCCAGGACAAUUCUUGUUAGGGUUGACAGGACAUGCCAGGUAGUCUAAAGGUGUCAUUUCUGUGGUCAGUAGGUGUUGGGUUAUCCCUGGUGACAUCGGGCUUCGUAUGUAAAUGGCUGCUUCCUGACUGAUUGAGUUAAAGAGUGCAACAAGUAGAAUCAGAAUAUUGUGCACCAUGAACUCACUUGUUUGCUAUUAACAGAAAACUGAAGGUUAGAGGGAUGAACUGGGAGACUUCAUUUUAUAAUCAAUUGUUACGAUGACUUUAUAGUCCCAUUAUCAUCAUGAAAUGGCAACAGAACUGAGAACUAGAGAAUACUGCCUUGAGGAUUGUGUGAGAAAAGGAUGGGGAUGCAUGUAGUGCUCCUCAAAAUGUCACAGCUAUAGUGUAUAAUUUCCCAGUUUUAUUUACGUUUGACUUGCUUCUGACCAAUAACAGGAAAAUUUAAAUGGUCUUAAGUUGUCCUGCUAACACUGCAAGCCAGAUAAUUAGCUAGGGUGGCAUAGGCCUGUAAUCCUAGCACUUGGGAGGUGGAGGCUAGAGGAUUAGGAGUUUAGGGCUAUCCUCAGCUACCUAGCAUGUUAUACUCCCCAAACUGUAUUAUGUAUGUAUGUAUGUAUGUAUGUAUGUAUGUAUAUACAUACACAUGUGUAUACACAUACAUACACAUACACACACACACACACACACACACACACACACACACACACACACGAAUUGGCUCAAUUGCUAAGAGCAACUAUUGCAGAGGACCUGGGUCCCAUUUCCUGUAUCCACCCACAAGGUGGCUCACAUUCUUCUGUAAUUCCCAUCCCAGGGGAUCUGAUGCCCUCUUCUGACCUCUCUAGGCACCAGGGAUGCACAUGGUGCACAAAA
rnacentral:lncRNA from 1 species